rnacentral:rRNA from 1 species
GACGAACGCUGGCGGCGUGCUUAACACAUGCAAGUCGAACGGAAAGGCCCUGCUUUUGUGGGGUGCUCGAGUGGCGAACGGGUGAGUAACACGUGAGUAACCUGCCCUUGACUUUGGGAUAACUUCAGGAAACUGGGGCUAAUACCGGAUAGGAGCUCCUGCUGCAUGGUGGGGGUUGGAAAGUUUCGGCGGUUGGGGAUGGACUCGCGGCUUAUCAGCUUGUUGGUGGGGUAGUGGCUUACCAAGGCUUUGACGGGUAGCCGGCCUGAGAGGGUGACCGGCGCCAUAGUGACUGAGAUACGGCCCAGACUCCUACGCGAGGGGGAGGUGGGGAAAAUUUCACAAUAGGCGGGAGCGUGUUGUAGCGCCGCCGCGUGCGGGAUGUGGGCCUUCGGGUUGUGAACCGCUUUCGCCUGUGACGAAGCGUGAGUGACGGUAAUGGGUAAAGAAGCACCGGCUAACUACGUG